CCCGGGGCGGCGAAAGCUCGUAACGACAUCGCAGGGACGACCCGCCACCCCCCCCGACACCACAGCGCAGACCACGUGACGGGCCGUCUCCACGUCACGCAGUUAUCACGCCGGAGCCAAAUCGCCGCCCGGUCCCGCCGGACCCACACUCCCGGCGAGACGAGACGCCUCAGGGAUAACCGUGCUGUCCAGUGGACGGCUGGCAAUUGGGCGCCCCACUUCCGGAAACUCGCGGGCCACGCCUACCACCCUACUGGCCCACUGCCCGACUUCCAGGAACGCCGCGGGCCACGCCCACCGCCCGAACUCCGGGAGCCGAGUCGCCCGCCCCCCACCCACCGGAAGCAAAAGCCCCGCCCCCUCCCGGAAGCCAGCCCGAGAGACUGUUCUGGGCCCGGCGGUCCCAAGCUGACGCACCGAGAGAUUCGCUUUCGCUUUCGCGGGAGACCUCCUGAGGCCCCAGGCCGGUUAUUACUACAUCAGCUCCACCUCCGAUCAUCAGGCAUUGGACCCCGGAGGUUGGGGACCCUUGCUUCAGCACAAAGCUUCACACAGCGCCAGAGAGGAGGCCACGAGGGCAAGGUAGGCGAUCACGUCCCAACUGGAGUUUCGUCUUUAUGUUCAGAUUCAGCUCUUCAAGCUGAUGACUGAUUGUC
rnacentral:lncRNA from 1 species